CACGUAGGGCGCAAGCGUUGUCCGGAAUUAUUGGGCGUAAAGAGCUCGUAGGCGGUCUGUUACGUCUGCUGUGAAAACCCGGGGCUUAACCCUGGGCUUGCAGUGGAUACGGGCAGGCUAGAGGCAGGUAGGGGAGAACGGAAUUCCCGGUGUAGCGGUGAAAUGCGCAGAUAUCGGGAGGAACACCGGUGGCGAAGGCGGUUCUCUGGGCCUGUACUGACGCUGAGGAGCGAAAGCGUGGGGAGCGAACAGG
rnacentral:rRNA from 1 species